GGUAAAAUGGCUGAAUAUUUAAGCGAUAAAUUGUAAAUUUAUUUAUGAAAUUUAAUUUCUUUUACCA
rnacentral:tRNA from 1 species